GUCUACGGCCAUGCCACCCUGAGCAAGCCUGAUCCCGUCUGAUCUCAGAAGCUAAGCAGGGUCCGGCCUGGUUAGUACUUGGAUGGGAGACCACCUAGGAAGAUCAGGUGCUGUAGGUG
rnacentral:rRNA from 1 species